rnacentral:rRNA from 1 species
UACAGAGGUCUCAAGCGUUGUUCGGAUUCAUUGGGCGUAAAGGGUGCGUAGGUGGCGAGGUAAGUCGGAUGUGAAAUCUCCGAGCUCAACUCGGAAAUGGCAUUGGAAACUACCUUGCUUGAGGGUCGGAGGGGGGACUGGAAUACUUGGUGUAGCAGUGAAAUGCGUAGAUAUCAAGUGGAACACCAGUGGCGAAGGCGAGUCCCUGGACGACUCCUGACACUGAGGCACGAAAGCUAGGGGAGCAAACAGG